UACGUAGGGUGCAAGCGUUAAUCGGAAUUACUGGGCGUAAAGCGUGCGCAGGCGGUUUGUAAGUUUGUCGUGAAAGCCCCGGGCUCAACCUGGGAAUUGCGAUGAAGACUGCAAGGCUUGAAUCUGGCAGAGGGGGGUAGAAUUCCACGUGUAGCAGUGAAAUGCGUAGAGAUGUGGAGGAACACCGAUGGCGAAGGCAGCCCCUCG
rnacentral:rRNA from 1 species